GCAUUUCCGUGACGGGGAAGGAUGAGAAGCUUCGACUAAGGUUCGAUUCGAGCGUAGCGAGAAAGCGUUGCCGCAGGCAACGACCCGAAGGGCGAGGCGCAACGCGCCGAGUAAUCCUUCCCCCACCACCA
rnacentral:sRNA from 1 species